rnacentral:rRNA from 1 species
GUGACUGCGUACCUUUUGUAUAAUGGGUCAGCGACUUAUAUUCUGUAGCAAGGUUAACCGAAUAGGGGAGCCGCAGGGAAACCGAGUCUUAACCGGGCGUUAAGUUGCAGGGUAUAGACCCGAAACCCGGUGAUCUAGCCAUGGGCAGGUUGAAGGUUGGGUAACACUAACUGGAGGACCGAACCGACUAAUGUUGAAAAAUUAGCGGAUGACCUGUGGCUGGGGGUGAAAGGCCAAUCAAACCGGGAGAUAGCUGGUUCUCCCCGAAAGCUAUUUAGGUAGCGCCUCGUGAAUUCAUCUCCGGGGGUAGAGCACUGUUUCGGCUAGGGGGCCAUCCCGGCUUACCAACCCGAUGCAAACUGCGAAUACCGGAGAAUGUUAUCACGGGAGACACACGGCGGGUGCUAACGUCCGUCGUGAAGAGGGAAACAACCCAGACCGCCAGCUAAGGUCCCAAAGUCAUGGUUAAGUGGGAAACGAUGUGGGAAGGCCCAGACAGCCAGGAUGUUGGCUUAGAAGCAGCCAUCAUUUAAAGAAAGCGUAAUAGCUCACUGGUCGAGUCGGCCUGCGCGGAAGAUGUAACGGGGCUAAACCAUGCACCGAAGCUGCGGCAGCGA